CUGGGGAUCGAUCAAGGCAGGGGAGAAAAAGGGUUCAACCCUAGUUGCUAAUUCAGCCAAAUUAAAGGAAAAUUUCAAAGAUUUUUGAUUGCAUGAACUCAAGUUUCGAUCAUCUAAGCUCAUAUAGUGAAGUGGCGUAAAAUAAUAAAGCUCAAACGCUAGGAAAUCGGAAAGCUCACAAGAUCGAGGUAAAUCCUCAACAUAAUGGCUUGGCGACUUGGAACGAACACACAUGAACCACGCCCACUUUGUGCUUCCGAAGAUGUCUAUUUUGUAUGGUCCUAGUUUUUGGUCGUAUGUAUUCCCAACAUGUGUAAACGUUUGGUCGUCAUUGUGUUUUGGCAAAAACUUAGUUUGUUAGUAGACUUUGUAUCUGAACAUGAACAACUGAAACUUGUCUGCUCUUUGGUUUU